rnacentral:rRNA from 1 species
AGCGAACGCUGGCGGCAGGCUUAACACAUGCAAGUCGAACGGGCAUCUUCGGAUGUCAGUGGCAGACGGGUGAGUAACACGUGGGAACGUACCCUUCGGUUCGGAAUAACUCAGGGAAACUUGAGCUAAUACCGGAUACGCCCUUUUGGGGAAAGGUUUACUGCCGAAGGAUCGGCCCGCGUCUGAUUAGCUUGUUGGUGGGGUAACGGCCUACCAAGGCGACGAUCAGUAGCUGGUCUGAGAGGAUGAUCAGCCACACUGGGACUGGGACACGGCCCAGACUCCUACGGGAGGCGGCAGUGGGGAAUAUUGGACAAUGGGGGCAAGCCUGAUCCAGCCAUGCCGCGUGAGUGAUGAAGGCCUUAGGGUUGUAAAGCUCUUUUGUCCGGGACGAUAAUGACGGUACCGGAAGAAUAAGCCCCGGCUAACUUCGUG